rnacentral:rRNA from 1 species
UACGAAGGGGGCAAGCGUUGUUCGGAAUUACUGGGCGUAAAGGGCGCGUAGGCGGCUUGCCAAGUCAGGCGUGAAAUUCCCGGGCUCAACCUGGGGGCUGUGCUUGAUACUGGCUGGCUUGAAUGCGGGAGAGGAUAGUGGAAUUCCCAGUGUAGAGGUGAAAUUCGUAGAUAUUGGGAAGAACACCGGUGGCGAAGGCGGCUAUCUGGCCCGUGAUUGACGCUGAGGCGCGAAAAGCGUGGGGAGCAAACAGG